CAAGUCGAACGAGAAAGUCCGAAAGGAUGAGUAAAGUGGCGCACGGGUGAGUAACGCGUAGGAAUCUACCCUUUGGUGGGGGAUACCUCCGAGAAAUCGGGGUUAAUACCGCAUAAGUUGAUGAUAAGUCGAGAAAGACGGCCUAAUAGCUGUUGUCGAAGGAUGAGCCUGCGUACUAUUAGCUAGUUGGUAGGGUAAAGGCCUACCAAGGCGAAGAUGGUUAACCGGCCUGAGAGGGUGUACGGUCACAAUGGAACUGGAACACGGUCCAUACUCCUACGGGAGGCAGCAGUGGGGAAUCUUGCACAAUGGGCGCAAGCCUGAUGCAGCGACGCCGCGUGGAGGAUGAAGGCUUUCGAGUUGUAAACUCCUGUUAAGUGGGAAGAAAUACCUUGGGUUAAUACCCUGAGGGGAUGACGGUACCACUAGAGAAGGCACCGGCAAACUUCGUGCCAGCAGCCGCGGUAAUACGAAGGGUGCAAGCGUUAUUCGGAGUUACUGGGCGUAAAGAGCAUGUAGGCGGCUUGUUAAGUUAGUUGUUAAAUUCCAUGGCUUAACUAUGGAUGUGCGGCUAAAACUGAUGAGCUAGAGCAUAGAAGAGAGAAGUGGAAUUCCCGGAGUAGCGGUAAAAUGCGUAGAUCUCGGGAGGAACACCGGUUGCGAAGGCGGCUUCUUGGUCUAUUGCUGACGCUAAAGUGCGAAAGCGUGGGGAGCAAACAGGAUUAGAUACCCUGGUAGUCCACGCUGUAAACGAUGGUCACUAGAUGUGGGUCGAGCAUAGCUUGAUCUGUGUCGAAGCUAACGCGUUAAGUGGCCCGCCUGAGUAGUACGGUCGCAAGAUUAAAACUCAAAGGAAUUGACGGG
rnacentral:rRNA from 1 species